rnacentral:rRNA from 1 species
GUGGGGAAUAUUGGACAAUGGGCGCAAGCCUGAUCCAGCCAUGCCGCGUGAGUGAUGAAGGCCCUAGGGUUGUAAAGCUCUUUUGUCCGGGACGAUAAUGACGGUACCGGAAGAAUAAGCCCCGGCUAACUCCGUGCCAGCAGCCGCGGUAAUACGGAGGGGGCUAGCGUUGUUCGGAAUUACUGGGCGUAAAGCGCACGUAGGCGGCUUUGUAAGUUAGAGGUGAAAGCCCGGGGCUCAACUCCGGAAUUGCCUUUAAGACUGCAUCGCUAGAAUUGUGGAGAGGUAAGUGGAAUUCCGAGUGUAGAGGUGAAAUUCGUAGAUAUUCGGAAGAACACCAGUGGCGAAGGCGACUUACUGGACACAUAUUGACGCUGAGGCGCGAAAGCUAGGGGAGCAAA